GAUGAACGCUGGCGGCGUGCUUAACACAUGCAAGUCGAACGGUGAACGAGGGAGCUUGCUCCCUCCGGAUCAGUGGCGAACGGGUGAGUAACACGUGAGCAAUCUGCCCUGGACUCUGGGAUAAGCGUUGGAAACGACGUCUAAUACCGGAUACGAGGCGUGGGGGCAUCCCCAACGCCUGGAAAGAACUUCGGUCCAGGAUGAGCUCGCGGCCUAUCAGCUAGUUGGUGAGGUAACGGCUCACCAAGGCGACGACGGGUAGCCGGCCUGAGAGGGUGACCGGCCACACUGGGACUGAGACACGGCCCAGACUCCUACGGGAGGCAGCAGUGGGGAAUAUUGCACAAUGGGCGCAAGCCUGAUGCAGCAACGCCGCGUGAGGGACGACGGCCUUCGGGUUGUAAACCUCUUUUAGCAGGGAAGAAGCGAAAGUGACGGUACCUGCAGAAAAAGCACCGGCUAACUACGUGCCAGCCGCCGCGGUAA
rnacentral:rRNA from 1 species